rnacentral:pre_miRNA from 1 species
AAUGUUUGUCGCCAUUGAUUUUUUAACACAAGUUUGAUCGUUCGUCUUAUUCAAAAAAUUUACGUAAUUAUUAAUUUUUUCACUAUCAUUUGAUUUAUUGUUAAAUAUAGUUUUAUGCAUACAUAUAAUUUUACAUAUUUUACAAAAGUUUUUGAAUAAGAUGAACGGUCAAACUUGUAUUAAAGUCAACGGUGACAAACAUU